CAAACCAGAGAAGACAGCUCCUGCCCCUCUGAAGGAGUAAUUCUUUUUUGGAGGUACAUCUGUGGGUCUUCAGAAAACUGUGGCUUUAAGAUGUAGUCUAUUUUCCUCAGGAGCUUCCCAGUCCAAAUGUCACACAGAUAUGACAAAGAAUUCUGCAAUAUGUACUCCUCCUGCUCAUGGGUCCUGGGAGAUAUGUGCAUGAGUUUCUCUAGGAAACGCAUACCCCUGCCAAAUGGACUUGCUAACAGGUAGACCUCAGACAAGGGGGAGCUGAGGACUAAACUCUCUCUGCUGUUUUCUUCUGUUCUUGGUUUACGUUUCUCCCUGAGAGGCCUGGAAGAAGUCACGCCCACAGACCAAACCUUAACUUUCCUUUUUCUUGACUCCAAGUAUUUAGACAAACCUUUGCUUUUUUAGCCAACUGCAAAUCAUGGAAUCUUUGAAUCCACCUAUGACUGUAAUGCUGCUCACCUCUCCCGCCCACUUCAAGACAUAUCACCUUUUAGGCCAAACCAACGUAUAAUCUCUGUAUAUUGAUUUACAAUCUUGCCCUGUAACUUCUGCUUUCCAGCAGUUUACCUCUGCCUUUAAAAACUCUUGAUUGUAAGCCAUCAAGAAGACCGAGUCUCAAGUGGGAGCUGCCCGAUUUUCCUUGCUCGGUACCCUGCAAAUAAACGUCCUCCUUUCUCGGUCUGCAAAAGCUCUGUGUGCGUGCUUGGCUUUUACUGUGCUGGGCAAGCAGACCGCAAUUUGGUUCAGUAACAUAAGUCUGCCUUGAGAUUUCUAGACUGAGAACAACACAAGAAUGAACGUAGAAGUGCAAAACUACAUGGUGGGUUCAGAGAAUUGCUUAGUGUCUCGUACGUUGUAGAUGGUCAGAAAAUUAUACCUUAAAAUCUUUUGGUAGCUACAGCAUCUCUUACCCUAAGAAAGGAAGAAAGUGUGUGUGUGUGUGUGUGUGUGUGUGUGUGUGUGUGUGUGUGUGUAAUUUUUUUUGUUAUUGCAUUUU
rnacentral:lncRNA from 1 species